rnacentral:rRNA from 1 species
GACGAACGCGGCGGCGUGCCUAAUACAUGCAAGUAGAACGCUGAAGGAGGAGCUUGCUUCUCUGGAUGAGUUGCGAACGGGUGAGUAACGCGUAGGUAACCUGCCUGGUAGCGGGGGAUAACUAUUGGAAACGAUAGCUAAUACCGCAUAAUAGCAGUUAUUGCAUGAUAACUGUUUGAAAGGUGCAAUUGCACCACUACCAGAUGGACCUGCGUUGUAUUAGCUAGUUGGUGGGGUAACGGCUCACCAAGGCGACGAUACAUAGCCGACCUGAGAGGGUGAUCGGCCACACUGGGACUGAGACACGGCCCAGACUCCUACGGGAGGCAGCAGUAGGGAAUCUUCGGCAAUGGACGGAAGUCUGACCGAGCAACGCCGCGUGAGUGAAGAAGGUUUUCGGAUCGUAAAGCUCUGUUGUAAGAGAAGAAACGAGUGUGAGAAGUGGAAAAGUUUCAAC